rnacentral:miRNA from 1 species
CGGACCGCUGAUGUGGCAUG